CGGGGCGGGGGCACGGGGGGCCUACGGGAGGCAGCAGUGAGGAAUAUUGGACAAUGGGCAAAAGCCUGAUCCAGCAAUGUCACGUGAGUGAUGAAGCCGAUUUUUGGUGUAAAGCUCUUUUAAUAAAGAUGAUAAUGACAGUAUUAUAGAAAUGCGGUCCC
rnacentral:rRNA from 1 species